UGAGGAAAGCUUGCUUUCCUUGAUGACGACUGGCGCACGAGUGAGUAACGCGUAUCCAACCUUCCCAUAACUACGGGAUAACCCGUUGAAAGACGGCCUAAUACCGUAUGACAUCGUUUGCUGACAUCAAAUAACGAUUAAAGGUUUAGCGGUUAUGGAUGGGGAUGCGUCUGAUUAGCUUGUUGGCGGGGUAACGGCCCACCAAGGCUACGAUCAGUAGGGGUUCUGAGAGGAAGGUCCCCCACAUUGGAACUGAGACACGGUCCAAACUCCUACGGGAGGCAGCAGUGAGGAAUAUUGGUCAAUGGGCGAGAGCCUGAACCAGCCAAGUAGCGUGCAGGAUGACGGCCCUAUGGGUUGUAAACUGCUUUUAUGUGGGGAUAAAGUGCGUGACGUGUCAUGCAUUGCAGGUACCACAUGAAUAAGGACCGGCUAAUUCCGUGCCAGCAGCCGCGGUAAUACGGAAGGUCCGGGCGUUAUCCGGAUUUAUUGGGUUUAAAGGGAGCGUAGGCUGUCUAUUAAGCGUGUUGUGAAAUUUACCGGCUCAACCGGUGGCUUGCAGCGCGAACUGGUUGACUUGAGUAUGCAGGAAGUAGGCGGAAUUCAUGGUGUAGCGGUGAAAUGCUUAGAUAUCAUGACGAACUCCGAUUGCGCAGGCAGCUUACUGUAGCAUAACUGACGCUGAUGCUCGAAAGUGCGGGUAUCAAACAGGAUUAGAUACCCUGGUAGUCCGCACGGUAAACGAUGGAUGCUCGCUAUUCGUCCUAUUUGGAUGAGUGGCCAAGUGAAAACAUUAAGCAUCCCACCUGGGGAGUACGCCGGCAACGGUGAAACUCAAAGGAAUUGACGGGGGCCUGCACAAGCGGAGGAACAUGUGGUUUAAUUCGAUGAUACGCGAGGAACCUUACC
rnacentral:rRNA from 1 species